CCUACGGGGGGCAGCAGUAGGGAAUCUUCCGCAAUGGACGAAAGUCUGACGGAGCAACGCCGCGUGAGAGAAGAAGGUCUUCGGAUCGUAAAGCUCUGUUGUUAGGGAAGAACAAGUACGGGAGGAAAUGACCGUACCUUGACGGUACCUGACGAGGAAGCCACGGCUAACUACGUGCCAGCAGCCGGGGUAAUACGUAGGUGGCGAGCGUGGUCCGGAAUUAUUGGGCGUAAAGCGCGCGCAGGCGGUAUUUUAAGUGUGGUGUGAAAUCUAGGGGCUCAACCGCAAGCGGGCAUUGGAGACUGGGAGACUGGAGUGCAGAAGGGGAAAGCGGAAUUGCGGGGGUGGGGGUGAAAUGCGUAGAGAUGUGGAGGAACACCAGUGGCGAAGGCGGAAGUCUGGUCUGUAACUUACGCAGAGGCGCGAAAGCGUGGAGAGCAAACAGUAAUAGGUACCCUGGUAGUC
rnacentral:rRNA from 1 species